rnacentral:rRNA from 1 species
GAUCAUGGCUCAGAUUGAACGCUGGCGGCAGGCCUAACACAUGCAAGUCGAACGGUAACAGGAAACAGCUUGCUGUUUCGCUGACGAGUGGCGGACGGGUGAGUAAUGUCUGGGAAACUGCCUGAUGGAGGGGGAUAACUACUGGAAACGGUAGCUAAUACCGCAUAACGUCGCAAGACCAAAGAGGGGGGACCUUCGGGCCUCUUGCCAUCAGAUGUGCCCAGAUGGGAUUAGCUAGUAGGG